rnacentral:rRNA from 1 species
UACGAAGGGGGCUAGCGUUGCUCGGAAUCACUGGGCGUAAAGGGUGCGUAGGCGGGGUUUUAAGUCAGGGGUGAAAUCCUGGAGCUCAACUCCAGAACUGCCUUUGAUACUGAAGAUCUUGAGUCCGGGAGAGGUGAGUGGAACUGCGAGUGUAGAGGUGAAAUUCGUAGAUAUUCGCAAGAACACCAGUGGCGAAGGUGGCUCACUGGCCCGGUACUGACGCUGAGGUGCGAAAGCGUGGGGAGCAAACAGG